GAGUCUGUUUCCAGUACGAAAGGACCGAGAUGGACGGACCUCUGGUGUAAGAGUUGUAAUGCCUGUUGCAGGUGCUCUGUAGCUAUGUCCGGAACGGAUAACCGCUGAAAGCAUCUAAGUGGGAAGCCGGUCACAAGAUAAGAUCUCUGUUAAGGGACCCGGAAGACUACCGGGUCGAUAGGAUGGGAAUGUAAGCGCAGUGAUGCGUUGAGUUUACCAUUACUAAUAUCCCGUAUGCUUUUGACGA
rnacentral:rRNA from 1 species